rnacentral:rRNA from 1 species
AUUGAACGCUGGCGGCAUGCCUAACACAUGCAAGUCGAGCGGAUGAAGGGAGCUUGCUCCUGGAUUCAGCGGCGGACGGGUGAGUAAUGCCUAGGAAUCUGCCUGGUAGUGGGGGAUAACGUCCGGAAACGGGCGCUAAUACCGCAUACGUCCUGAGGGAGAAAGUGGGGGAUCUUCGGACCUCACGCUAUCAGAUGAGCCUAGGUCGGAUUAGCCAGUUGGUGGGGUAAAGGCCUACCAAGGCGACGAUCCGUAACUGGUCUGAGAGGAUGAUCAGUCACACUGGAACUGAGACACGGUCCAGACUCCUACGGGAGGCAGCAGUGGGGAAUAUUGGACAAUGGGCGAAAGCCUGAUCCAGCCAUGCCGCGUGUGUGAAGAAGGUCUUCGGAUUGUAAAGCACUUUAAGUUGGGAGGAAGGGCAGUAAGUUAAUACCUUGCUGUUUUGACGUUACCAACAGAAUAAGCACCGGCUAACUUCGUG